AGGCCUAUCAGUAUCCUGAGUAGGGCGGGACACGUGAAAUCCCGUUUGAAUCCGCGAGGACCAUCUCGCAAGGCUAAAUACUAACCAGUGACCGAUAGUGAACCAGUACCGUGAGGGAAAGGUGAAAAGAACCCCGGGAGGGGAGUGAAAGAGAACCUGAAACCGUGUGCCUACAAGUAGUCAGAGCCCGUUAACGGGUAAUGGCGUGCCUUUUGUAGAAUGAACCGGCGAGUUGCGUUAGUCAGCAAGGUUAAGUCAGAAAAGACGGAGCCGUAGCGAAAGCGAGUCUGAA
rnacentral:rRNA from 1 species